rnacentral:lncRNA from 1 species
UUUAAUUAACCAUAUACUUGUACAAAAGACCUUGACUAUCAGCGGAGUGACUCUGGCGUGGAUAAUAUUAUGGAGUGUUCUGGCAAGCCUACCGUAAGAUGAACAAGAGGAAGCACCUCUACCUAAGAUCCAACUAUCUUCGAAUCUGAAAACAUGAAGUUAAAAAGAGUGAGUAUAAACCCAAUGAGUGAACAUAGGAAGAGAACAAGCAAACGAUACGGAGAGCUUUUCGAAAACACGAUGCACUUGCUUAAAAACAAUGCAAUUUUAUAUAUUAUGAACAAAACUCGAUGUUGUGCUAUUUUUCAACUCAUUUAAAACAUUUAGGAAGUUCAAGCAAGGCAAGCAUAGUAAAGCGAAUCUCGCUGUAGGUAGAAUGAAUUUUCGCUGCAGUGAACUUUAGGGCAAAAUUUUGAACCAAUUACUCGAGAGUUUCUCGCUGCAGUGAGAAUGCAUUUUCGUUGGAGGGAAAAUAUGGACUAGUCAUGUCCCCAACACCCGAGAGAUUCUUGCUGCAAUGAGAAUGAAUUUCACUAUAGCAAAAACCAGGGCUAUCAAGUUAAAGAAUUCUUGUCACAAUGAAAAUCCAUUUUUGUUGCAAUGAAAAAUCAAUUGGAAAACAUUUAUCAAAUUUCAACAUUCAAUAUGUAAUACAAUCACAUUUUGUUUCUUUCACAUCUAUAUGGAAUGUGUAUACAUGUAUAAAACUUCCAUCUUAGCAGCUCAUGUGUACUUCCACACCUCACAUAGCUAGAAUCAUCUUGUGCACUUCCACACCGUACAAGGUAAUAUCAUCAUGUGCACUCCCCCUAGCACAUGGCAUAUAUGAUCAGUGUGUGCACUCACACGACACACCACUAUCAUGCACAUGGCAUAUAUCAUCAGUGUGUGCACUCACACAGCACACCACUAUCACCGUCAUGUGCACUCCCACACCGCACAUGCACGGUUAUAAUUGUCACCCAAUAGUGCCAUUCAAUGCAUAACAUACAUGUUAACAUAAUGUAGAAACACAUGAAUUCAUCACUUUCAUAUUUCACAACAUAAAACGUUUUAUCAAGGGCUUGUUCCCAUGCAAUUUUAAAGAAAAGCCAAUAAAAUAUUUCAAGGGGUUCAAUCAAGCAUAUAAUCAUUUAUUCCAAAACAUUUUAAUGCAAGUUCACUCACCUUAAUGCCACCUUACAAAACUAGUGCCCACAAAGUCUAAAUCCAGGUAGUCCCGAAAUACUGUUAAAAUCUAUAUUUACCAAUAAGCCAUAACAACCUCUAUCAAGUCAUAAUUUUAAUUUAAUAAUUCUAAUAAAUAUACACUAUACAAUCAACACUCUAACCCAACUUUUAACCUAGAAUUCUAGUCUAACUCAUAAACCCUUUAAACUAAUUGUUCAAGUUUGAAGUUUCUUGACCUUCGUACUUGAAGGUAUAAAGAUCAACCAAACCUAGCAAAUUUCAAGGAAAGGAAAUUUGAAAAAAACUUAGAAAAUAAAGUCUAAAAAUUACAAACCCAUAAAUUCAAAAAUUCAAGGGCUGAAAAUAUAUACCUUUUAGCCUUAAAAAUGAAGAUUCGAAGCCAAGAAUCCAAGUGUUGUUGAAAGUGGAGUAGAAAUAGAAAACAAAAGAAAGGAAAAGAGAUUUUUCUUUCUCUCUCCUAAGGUUUAGAUGUGCUUGAAAUUGGGGUUAGAAGCUGCAAGUUUGAUGCCCAAGAAGUUAGGAGAAGGAGUAAGAAAAGAAAAAGAAAGAAAGAAAACAAAGAAAAGAAAAUGAAAAUCUUGAGUUUUAUGGGAGAAGAACAAAAAUGGUGUUCGG